AUAUAAAGGCCAUAGGGCUAUCAGAAUGAAACUACGGCUGGUCAGAAGAGAAGGGAAAGAUUCAAGAGAGGCGUUGGCCUCCGUGUUGGGUAGAAGAGAGGACAGAGCGGCCAGAAGUGGGGGGCAUGGAGCCCAGAAUCAUCAAGUCCCCGCGAGGCAAGCAGAGGUCCGUUUCACAUGGCCGGGGCCAGCACCUUGGCCCACCUUCGGACCUUCAGACCUCUUCCUGCUCUCUCUUCUUCCUUCGGAGAAGGGGAGUGCUCCCACCAGCCUCACCUGGUCACCUCUCUGCCCAUCUUCAGAGGGUCCCAUCACUCCCCUGGGGCCGAAAAAUAAAUAACUUGCUCAGAAGUCUAAGAAAUCCAAUCUCAAAGCCCUUCGCGGGGGAGGGAACACGUGCAUGUGACCGACCGCGCACUGGAAUUUCAGGAGCCCCGGCUUUCACAGCACCCACGGGCCCGUGGGAGCCCGAAGCCCCCACAGCCUUCUGCAGGGACGACGCUGCCAUUCGUCUCUCUCAGCCUGCCUCGGGAUCGGCUUCGGCUGGACGUCUCACUCCGCAUUUACUUUGCAAGCAAACGUAAUUAAAUGUGAAGGCCUCCAGCAGCUCCAGUGAAUCAUCGGUCUGCUGGACGAGCGAGCAGGAAAGACAGCGCGGAACACCUCUGGCCCCGGGUCGGCCCUUCCAUCCGCUGCGAGUCUGGGGUUAGAGCAGGAACGCGGGGCCAUUCUGGGUCUGUCUCAGAAGCAGGAAAGCCUCCAAGAGGGGGAAUGGUUUCAGAAUAAUAAAGAGUCUGCUGGUUGGCAUGGAA